AUAUUCUGGUUUCUCUUCAGAUUAUAUAAAUCUUUCACCUUUUACUAAAGAUUUCAGUGGAGAGCAACAACUCUGAGUCUUAAACCAUUUUUUUUAAGCCUUGUCUUUUGCAAGGCC
ensembl:snRNA U5 U5 spliceosomal RNA